GAUGAACGCUGGCGGCGUGCCUAAUACAUGCAAGUCGAGCGAACGGACGAGAAGCUUGCUUCUCUGAUGUUAGCGGCGGACGGGUGAGUAACACGUGGAUAACCUACCUAUAAGACUGGGAUAACUUCGGGAAACCGGAGCUAAUACCGGAUAAUAUUUUGAACCGCAUGGUUCAAAAGUGAAAGACGGUCUUGCUGUCACUUAUAGAUGGAUCCGCGCUGCAUUAGCUAGUUGGUAAGGUAACGGCUUACCAAGGCAACGAUGCAUAUCCGACCUGAGAGGGUGAUCGGCCACACUGGAACUGAGACACGGUCCAGACUCCUACGGGAGGCAGCAGUAGGGAAUCUUCCGCAAUGGGCGAAAGCAUGACGGAGCAACGCCGCGUGAGUGAUGAAGGUCUUCGGAUCGUAAAACUCUGUUAUUAGGGAAGAACAUAUGUGUAAGUAACUGUGCACAUCUUGACGGUACCUAAUCAGAAAGCCACGGCUAACUACGUG
rnacentral:rRNA from 1 species